AAACCUUUGUCGCUUAGAGAGCUGGCAAUACACAACAUGCUCAUAUUUAGCUGGCAUCUGCUUUUCAACUUCUGUUUUUAAACGGCGAAGUAAAUAAGGUCUGAGUACACGAUGAAGCUUGGCAACUGUGUUCAUCGCUUCAGGAUUCAUAUCCUGACCUUCUUCUAUUAAACGAUCCAUCGGUUUUGAAAACCAAUCUUGAAAAUCCUUCAAAUUAGCAAAAGCAGAGUUAUUUUGUGUCACGCCAGCAGGCAUCAAGAAAUACAGAAGUGACCAUAAUUCGACUAAAUUAUUUUGCAAAGGAGUUCCGGUAAGCAAUAAUCGAUGCUCUGCAUUAAAGUUCAGAAGAGAUUGCCAACGUUGAGACCUGAAAUUUUUAAUAUUGUGAGCUUCAUCUAAAAUCAUGUACUGCCAUUUUUUGCGUCUAAAGGGUUGAUGAUCUUGUAAAACAAGUUGAUAUGAAGUAAUACAGACAUGCCAAGUGUCGGGUUUAUACCAUCCACUUCUUUUUUCUUUUCUUUCUUGGGGAUUGCCAUAAUACGUUAGAAUUUUAAAUCCCGGCAAAAAUUUCUUAAAUUCCAUUUCCCAAUUAAGCAUUACACUUGUCGGUACAAUAAUUAAAUGAGGGCCCCAAUUUUCUUUUUCACAGGCGAGAUGGGCCAGUAAGGCUAUCGUUUGAAUCGUUUUUCCAAGACCCAUUUCAUCAGCAAGUAUACCGUUGGUAUUGCUAUCAUGAAGGGCAGUAAGCCAUUCAAGUCCAUACUGUUGAUAUUCCCUAAGAGUUCCUCUAAAGAGAAAAGGAACUUGGAUCUUAUUAGCAUGUAAGACAGGGCUCCCAUUAGGUUCGUCAAAUUUUCUUUGCUCAGAAAUUCCUGCUAUUGAUUUUUUCCGUGCAAGACCGUCAUCGUUUACUCGUCUCUUCUUUUUACUUGCAACGUCUUCAUUGUAUAACAGAGACAAGCUUGACGACGACCCAGUAUCGUGUAGUGGAACUUCAUUUUGGUCUCCAUCAUUGAGAUCCUUUUUGGUAGACACACCAUCAGUAAUGUCCUCUUUUUUCAUGACUAUCACUUCUCCAUCCAAAUCCGAUACGUGGUUGUAUGAUUUUUUUGCAAAAAAUCGACGACUUCUUCGCAGGGAGGGUGGAUGUUUAUUCACCACACGAGUUUUGUCACUAACCUUCCGUUUUCUUAAAUUUGAUUCCUCUGUAAUAUCCUCGUCUUCAUUCUCUUCAUCUUCGGAACUCAACGGUUCAUCAUCUGAAGUUUCUUCCGCUUCCUCUUCACGUUCUAUAUUUUUGAUUAAGUCCGGAUUACUAUACUUAAGUUUCAACUCAUCAACAGAUAGUAGAUCGUCUGAUGUUUUUAAUAAAUAAUUCCAGUCUACGGCUGAUUCACUUGUUUGCGCACUGAUAUUAAUAUUGGCUCUUUCAAUUCUAGCUUCAAGCAAAUCAGUAGAAUGUUUCAAAAUGUUGGCCAACUGUUCUUUUCCUGCUACUCUUUGAGCUUCAGCUGCUCUUUCAGCACGUCUCCGUCUAACUUCUCUUUCAAUGACUUUCCAUUUUUUUCGGAUUUCCCAAGCAGUUCUUUUUGCCAAAAGACGUAUCCGCUUGUCCUCCUCUUUGGCCUUUUUCUCAUCUGCACCUGAAAGUCGCUUAAAAUGUGCUAAAAUCAUACCAGAUAUUCGGCGCGAACGCGAAGCUCGCACCUUCCUAUCAUUAUGCAUAGAGCGAGCAUAACCAUUGACAUGAGAUAGAAGAUUAUCUCUGUAUGAUAUUGGAAUAUUAUUGGAACUAGGUGCCUUUUUCAGCUCUACAGGAGCUUCUGCUGUAAAGUAACCCUUUUUUCUGAACUCAUUAAUUCUAUGUCGGAGUUGAACCUCGCGAAAAACCAAUUCCUUUGCUUCUUUCGGAUCGUGAUCACCAUCUUCCAAAGAUACAUAUGAAUCAAGGUAUUGCUCUAAAUGUUCGUAUUUUGGCUGUUCAGUGAUAUGCCCACUGUGAGUAACCAACAGCUUUGGUUCGCGAAACCGAACGCGUACUUUUAAAUCUGAAGAUCCUUCUUUCUUAAUAUAGGAACUAAGUCCAUUUUUGUUCUUUUCUGACUCCUCGUAAGUCAUAGAAUUACUCUACUCAUCUGAGCCGAAGUUGUGGUAGAAGGAUGAAAUACUAUUGGGAGCUGCCACCACUUGACCUCAAAAUUUGCACUUUGCGGCAAACAGCGUAUAGCUUCAGCUUUUCAAGUGUCAAAUUUUUGAGAUGAAAAAUAAUUCCGUUUUAGCUCUUCUUCAACUUUUGAGAGGUCUCCAGGCUCCCUUCCUCACCAUGAAACUUCCUAUUUGCAUUUACCUAACUAAGGGGAUGAGAGACUGCCAGAUUCAAUUAUAAAUUAUAAAUGCUUAAUUUAAAACACUAAACAGUUCUUUUUUGAUAAUCAAAAGCUACUUUCUCGUAAGUUCGUUUCUUUUAGCUGACGCAUUACUAUACGGUACUAUUAUAAAACUUACAAAUUUAGAGUAUGAAAUUAUAUAAACUGAAAUGAGUUGAUAUUCAAUCAAGUGACUGAUAUUUAUAAUAAAUACACAUGAGCUAUAAAUUAUCAGGUCUUUAAUGCAUAAUUUAGGUGACAAGGAAUUAUAUAUAAAAUGACAUUAAUAAAUAAAACAACAAAGUCAAACUAUUAAACUUACUGCAUUCACCGGGAAUCCAGCUUUUUUAAAUGACCAAGUGGCAUCACAUAACCGUUUCUCAUAGCAUCAGCCAUUAGUAAUCUGCCUUUCCUUUGGAAAUGCUUUGAUAAAAAUCUCUUCGAAUCAGCGCGCAUACGCAGAAUUCGGAGAAUAAUACGCUCGUUUCUUUCCAACUCGCUUUCAUUCGUUUGAAUAUGCACUUUUCUGAUAGUUCCAGAACGAUAAAUUUCCUUAUUCGCAAACUUGAUUCUGGAAUGUCGAGGUAGACUUUCAACGGGCUCAUUGUUAACCAUACGAGAGGACAAGUAUAGUUGCGAGGCAAUUUUAUCGCAUUCCUGAAGAAGAAAAUCAGUUGGCUUAUCAUAAUAUUCCUGCACUCGAAGUAGCUCCUUGUAAUGGUCCGUUUCUAAAACGGGCAACUUUACUCCUUCCCCGUUGGCAUAAAAAUAGUCUUUUAAAAACUGCAGCCAUCUGUACACAAUUGCCAUUUGGGCUGGAGAAAGUGGUUUUCGAUUAAUUGGCUUAACAGAAACAGGUGGUAACAACAAUUCCUCGGUAGUGCAAACAACUUCGUCCCAUACAUAGGACAUUACAGUUACGAAUACGUCCUUUGUUAAGUGCUUCGCGAUAAUGGAAAAAUUUAAGUCGAAGUAAUCAAGCAGCUCGUAAAUAGCAGCCUCAAUCUGAACAUCGGUAAGCUCGCCUUCUUUUUUAACAUUUUCGGACGAUUUAGAGCUGAAUCCAGUUCGAUUAAGUAGGCUAGUUACAGAGGUCAUUGUUUUGUCGAGAUCCAUCCACGUAUUGGCAGAAAGAAGCUUUUUUAGCGUUGCUGUUGAUAGAUUUUGAUUAAUAACGGGCUCCAUCUUAUUAACAAUAAAUUUAAUCAUCUCUCUCUGAGCACGCUCAAGGUCGUGAUAAGUUCGUCCAACAUAAAAACCAAUGUGUUCUCUUUCACCUUCCAUUUCAAUCCUAAGAAGAAGCUCACCAUGGGGGUUCAAAUCAAACCACUCUUCUCUCGGUAAAUAAUCACCAUAUAUUUUUGGGCUUAAUGUAAAGGAACUUCUGCCAAAUAUUUCGUGAUCAUUAAAUUUUCCUUUUGACCAUAAAUUAGCAGUAAUCAUUAAUGCGUCCUUUGUCUUUACUUCAAAAGUAUCAUCCCAACGAGGAUUCAUUGAAUGUAUCGGUCGAGUUUUACCAAUACGACGACCCUUAUUGUCAGUUAAAACAAUGUAAGACGUCCGAAUUUUACCGGCGCCAUCAGGAUGUAAUCCUUCUCCUCUAACAACUUUAAUUGUGUACAAAUAAUUUGUGGCAGAAAUUUUAUGACGUUUAGUAGAUUCAGCAACGUCUAAUGCCUCUAUUAGACGCUGGAGAUCUAUUUUCUGUUCAAGUUCUUCAUAAGCGUGCAUGGCAAAAUGAAUAUUGUUUAGCAAAAUACACAUUGUUGGUGAAAACCGAAAAGGCAAUACCUCAUUACUUCCGGAUAAAAUAUUCCUAGCUUUUGAAAACCACGAUGAGCUAUUGUCAUUUUGAACUUCACUCGUAUCGUCUUGUUUAUUAGCUUCUUCAAAAAAUUUUUGUGUAGUCCACUGAGUAUACUUUGAAAGUACAAUAUAAAUAACUCUAAAGAAUCGAGUAAAAAAACGAGCAUUCGCUAAAUCGUCUUCCCACUCAAAUCCUUCCAAAGUCCUAAAAGCUUGAUGAAAAGCAUGAAACAGGUCUACUAUAGAACUACUGUACUGACCUUCUGAAGAAUUUUCAUCAAAAUUGUCCUUCUCUAAAGAUCUCAAAAACCAUUGCUCUGCACUGGCUUCGACAUUGUCGAGCCAAGAAUCAAUGAAUGGCUGAAAAAAACCUUCAAA